rnacentral:rRNA from 1 species
GACGAACGCUGGCGGCGUGCUUAACACAUGCAAGUCGAACGGAAAGGCCCUGCUUUUGUGGGGUGCUCGAGUGGCGAACGAGUGAGUAACACGUGAGUAACCUGCCCUUGACUUUGGGAUAACUUCAGGAAACUGGGGCUAAUACCGGAUAGGAGCUCCUGCUGCAUGGUGGGGGUUGGUAAGUUUCGGCGGUGGGGGAUGGACUCGCGGCUUAUCCGCUUGUUGGUGGGGUAGGUGCUUACCAAGGCUUUGACGGGUAGCCGGCCUGAGAGGGUGACCGGCCACAUUGAGCCUGAGAGACGGCCCAGACUCCUACGGGAGGCAGCAGUGGGGAAUCUUGCACAAUGGGCGCAAGCCUGAUGCAGCAACGCCGCGUGCGGGAUGACGGCCUUCGGGUGGUAAACCGCUUUGGCCUGUGACGAAGCGUGAGUGACGGUAAUGGGUAAAGAAGCACCGGCUAACUACGUG